GAUGCCAGGGUCAAAAGGUCAUGCGUUUCAUGCUUGCAUGAAAAAGCAUGACUUAUUGACCCACCAAACAUGAGAAAGUAGCGAUUUACGUAGUAAAUCAGCGGAUUUCGAAUGUUUGCAGAAUUGCGGGAGCUGCUUUGCAGCGGAGCAAUUCGUAGGCAUC
rnacentral:sRNA from 1 species